UGGAGGGCAGACUCCAUAUCAGCUCUUAUUGGUUGUUUUCCACCGGUCUGUGAAAUCUUGCAAAUGCCGUUAGGAGCACCGGAAGACACCGGAGGAACAUGAUUUUUUUCAGGAUUACCUGUCUCAUGCACUACUGUCAGGAUAUAGUGACCGUUUCAUAAAAAUAACUUAUUUAAUCAUAUUUGCUCCAUUUCUACCCACUGCUGCUUUAAAAGGCAUAGUUCAGGUGUUUUGAAGUGGGAUUGUAUGAGGUACUUAUCCAUAGUCAGUGUGUUACCCACAGUAGAUGAGGGUCAGCACAACCCCAGUUUGGAGAAACAGACCGGAGCACGAGCAAGGGAGCAAAGCAACGGGGAACUGAAGCCGUUUAUCUAUGCUCUCUUCAAAGCCACAGACUCCAUUGACAAGAACAGUCAUUUUACCUCGCAGAUAACGGGAGUUGCCGGUCGACCGCUGCCUCGAUCAAUUAGUUUGAUUGUGUUAUUGUGUGACUUUGGUGAAUCCGAACUAACCCUUUACACCAGAGUCACACAAUAACCCUAACAAACUAACUAACUGAUCUAAGCAGCGGUGGACCAGCAACUCUCAUGUUCUGAGAGGUAAAAUUACUGUUUUGGUGCCUAUAGGUGACAUUAAAGAUUUAACAGAGUUUGCAGGAGAGGGAAACAAAGUGCUGACACUGAAAGUGAGCAGCUGGAAGACACUGAGCAUAGGAAAACUACUUCCACUCCCCCGCUGCACGCUCCGUUAACUAGUUUGGACUUGACAAACGUGUCCCGUCACAUUCUUAAAUCGUGAGCUGCAGAUUGAUUACUCCGUCAGUUUGAGCUCACUCAGUAGUUGUGUUGUUAAGGGAGCUCCUAUAGAGAGUCAUUGAUUAGCUGUAUAGCUGCACAACAAUGAUAACAACAACGACGAUGAUAGCAUCGCUGUGCAGAUGACUGCUGAAAUAUUUCACAACAUCAGAGAUAACAUUGUUU